rnacentral:rRNA from 1 species
UACGUAGGGUGCAAGCGUUGUCCGGAAUUAUUGGGCGUAAAGAGCUUGUAGGUGGUUUGUCGCGUCUGCUGUGAAAAUCCGAGGCUCAACCUCGGACUUGCAGUGGGUACGGGCAGACUAGAGUGUGGUAGGGGAGACUGGAAUUCCUGGUGUAGCGGUGGAAUGCGCAGACUAUCAGGAGGAACACCGAUGGCGAAGGCAGGUCUCUGGGCCAUUACUGACACUGGAGAAGCGAAAAGCGUGGGGAGCGAAACAGG